UGGGGAAUAUUGCACAAUGGAGGAAACUCUGAUGCAGCGAUGCCGCGUGAGGGAAGAAGGUUUUAGGAUUGUAAACCUCUGUCUUCAGGGACGAAAAAAGACGGUACCUGAGGAGGAAGCUCCGGCUAACUACGUGCCAGCAGCCGCGGUAAUACGUAGGGAGCGAGCGUUGUCCGGAAUUACUGGGUGUAAAGGGAGCGUAGGCGGGAUCGCAAGUCAGAUGUGAAAACUAUGGGCUUAACCCAUAAACUGCAUUUGAAACUGUGGUUCUUGAGUGAAGUAGAGGUAAGCGGAAUUCCUAGUGUAGCGGUGAAAUGCGUAGAUAUUAGGAGGAACAUCAGUGGCGAAGGCGGCUUGCUGGGCUUUUACUGACGCUGAGGCUCGAAAGUGUGGGGAGCAAACAGGAUUAGAUACCCUGGUAGUCCACACCGUAAACGAUGAUUACUAGGUGUGGGCGCGAUAAGCGUCCGUGCCGGAGUUAACACAAUAAGUAAUCCACCUGGGGAGUACGGCCGCAAGGUUGAAACUCAAAGGAAUUGACGGGGGCCCGCACAAGCAGUGGAGUAUGUGGUUUAAUUCGAAGCAACGCGAAGAACCUUACCAGGUCUUGACAUCGUGCGCAUAGUCUAGAGAUAGAUGAAGUCUUUCGGGACGCAUAGACAGGUGGUGCAUGGUUGUCGUCAGCUCGUGUCGUGAGAUGUUGGGUUAAGUCCCGCAACGAGCGCAACCCUUACGAUUAGUUGCUACGCAAGAGCACUCUAAUAGGACUGCCGUUGACAAAACGGAGGAAGGUGGGGAUGACGUCAAAUCAUCAUGCCCCUUAUGACCUGGGCGACACACGUACUACAAUGGCAAUGACAGAGGGAAGCAAGAUAGCGAUAUGGAGCAAACCCCUAAACAUUGUCCCAGUUCGGAUUGCAGGCUGCAACCCGCCUGCAUGAAGCCGGAAUUGCUAGUAAUCGCGGAUCAGCAUGCCGCGGUGAAUACGUUCCC
rnacentral:rRNA from 1 species